GCCUCUUAAGCAGCUAGAUUUAGGUCACCUUUGACUGCCACCGCCAGGUUUCUUUUACUUGAAGCCCCUCACCUAUAAAACCAUACUCAGAAGAGCAUGAUUUUACUUUUGGAUUAUCCAAAAACUUGGACAAUUAGGUUCUAUAAGAACCCUUGAAAUUCAUAAGAAAGAAGGGGUCAAUUUUACAAAACUUAGCAGCUAAUUUCACCACAGAAGCCUUAGGUAACCAAUUCCAAAAAAAGAGAGAAAACCCUAAAGCUAAAGAAAAACAAAAAAAAUCCUAACUUUCUGUCCUAUCAAGUAGCCAAAUACCACAAUCAAAAGAUUAAGAAAAGCAUAAAUAAAAAAUAGCAAAAAGUAAUAAAAAAAAGCCUUGAAAAUUUGAAAACUAGAAAGGACCAAUGGGGUUUGUUUUUCCUUCUUUUCUUUUGGGAUCUUCACGGGAUUUAGGGAAUUUAUGGCCUGUGGUUUUCGAUCGGUUUUGUUGGGGAGUGAUUGUGAGGGAGAAAAAGAGGAAGUUGAUGAAAUCGAUAGAGAAGAGGGGCAAUUGACAAGGUAGGCUGACUGUCAUGACCUGAAACUCCCAUCGAGCCCGUGACAAUUGUCGCGACGUCCCGAUAGGCACUCAUUACCCCGAAUGCCGAUUGAAAUCCCGUAAGACUUAGCAUUAGCUUCUGAAUCUCCCCAGUGAGCGACAGUUAUUAAAUCUCACAUUUCAAAAAAAAUCAUAAGUCAUUUCCAAAUCAAAACAAUAAAAUAUUACUUUCUGGCUCACAGGGGUAUUUUCGUCAUUUUUCUUCGAAAAUACCGAAACUCGCCAAAAACAUGGUGUAAAAGCUAAAUAUAUUCAUACAUAUCUUAAAUUAAAUAACUGAAGAAUAAAAUUACUUUUACAGUGACACGUGGACCCCCAACUAACUAAGAAAAUAUAGGGUUAUGAAUCCUUACUUUCUAAGAUGCAACUCCGAGAUUAAUUCUCGUCUUAAUCAACUAUCAACAAAUUGUCUUGAGCCUGAAAAAUGUAUAGGAAGAAGGGUGAGAUUAUAAAAUCCCAGUGAGUAGACAGACAUCAUCAAAAUAAUUUAAAGCCGAGUAAUAUGAGACAAUUAAAAUAAUUCAUCCCAACCCAUAUAAAUAAUUGGAUUGCAUCCAAUUACUCAACAUGGCUUAUGAACUUUUCAAAAACUUGGCUUUUGCCAAAAAUCCAUUCUCGGGGAUACCCCGCGAAGGCAUCUUACCGAGACCGCCAAGGCUGUUUAUUGUCACACACACAAACACAUUUCACCUCUGACAACACAGCCGUUCCUUGGAGUUAGCUGAGUCCCAAUUUCACGUGGUGGCCAACGUGAAGUGUACUCAAAUCCUACCUCGAGAGUUAUCUUACGCGCCUCUCCAAUCGAGGUAAGCUCAAUAAUUGGGAACUGUGCCCCUCUAAUUAGGCUAACCCACAGAACCCCCGUCACUGCAGUGCCCACUUUAUAAUCCACCAACCAAUAAAAUCACAAUAGUAUGACAUGGCUCACUUAACACAUUCAAGGUAAAUCAAAGCAGUUCACAUAUUCUUAAAAUCAUAAAAAUAACCAAUCAUACCCACAUUUAUCAUAAGCCAUUUAAUGUAAAAUCAUAGAUAAACAACACAAUCAUAGUAUAGGUCUCCAAUUACUCUAUUUUUGAAAUCAUUAUUAAAUUUUCAAAAAUAUUAUAAAAUUAUUUUAUAAAAUCCCAUUUUACCAUAAAACACAAUAAUUUUCCAAUUAAACCAUUUUUUCAUAAAAUCACACAAUUAAAUAAAUCUACUCUAGAUAAUUAAGACGAUAGUAAGUUUACUCACUGUACUAGGAGUCGAUAUACUCCUAUUUUCAAUCCGCGGGUACAGUCCUUUACCCGUAUCUAAUGGCUCACCACCUAGCCAUAAUCCAUGGCACAUAUUUCAAUUAAAUUGUGUCUAACAGUCAUAAGCUAUUUCAGGCUCGAUAUAUAUGCAUGAUAUGAAAUGAAAAAUGCACAGGUAGCCAUCUAGACCCGGUAUUGACCUAAGUCGAUUUUUCAUCCAAUAAAUUGGCCAAUGCGUCCAAUUUCACUCCAACUUUCUCCAUUUCUUUUCCAAUCCCUCAAUUCACCAAGCACAACUAAUUAACACACAAUUAGGCAAAUUUAUCUUCACUUUUCUUCUUGGAACUUUCGGCCAUUGAAGGUUCAUGGGGAAAAUGGAUUCUUUUCUUGUUGUUUUGUUUCUAAACAUGUUUAACUAACUCUAAACACCAACAUAACUCAAAAUCAAACAAUUCCAACAUCUUUCUCUCUCCAUACCCAUUUUGACCAGCCAUAAUUUCAUCAUGAAAACAUGUAAUUUAACCAUGGAAAUUAAGGAAAAAUGCAUGGGUAAGGUAAAUCACUAGCAAAAUCAAAGAAAUUUUACCUUUGCUUGAUCAAAUCCUUGAAUUCCAACACUUUCUCUUUGAUUUUUCCCACCUAGGGUUUGUUCUUCCUUGGUUUCUCUUCUCUUCUGGUUUGGCUGAUCACUAUGGGAGAAAUGGGCUGAUUUUUUUGCCUUUUUAUAAAGAAAUAAUAAAAUAAUAAAAACAUGACACAUGGCAUUUCCUUAUUGGCUCAAAUUUUAAAUAUUUGACUUUUAAUUCUUUAAUUCUCCACCACACAUUUCUCAUGUUUAUCCAUUUCCAUGAUGAAUAAAAUCCCUUGGUCUUGACAAGUGUCGGGGGUGAAAAUUUACCGAUUUGCCCCCGGGGUGGCAAAAUUACCAUUUCACCCUUAUACUCCAAAUUAUACCGAAAUUAAAAUUUUUCACUUCUAAACUUCAAAUCAUACUCCAAUACUUAAAUCAUACUCCAAUAAGUCAAAUGGACCAAAAAAAAUCUUUUCUAAAAAUUUUCAUUUUGUCCCCAAGUGGCAAAUGACCAUUUUACCCCUAGAUAGUGAAAAUUCCAGUUUGACUCCAAAUUGAUCCUCGAACUCCGAAUUACCAUUUUGAGUCAUCCAUGAACUGUGAAACUCUUAAUUUCACCUUAAAAUUCCUAUUUGAACUAGUUCGAGGCUUAAUCGACUUAAUGAUACCAUUAGGGGCAAUAUCGUCUUUUAACGAUUUCUCGAACUUCCUAAAUAUACAAACAUUCUAUCGAGCAUGUGAAUGACAUUAUAAUUAUUUUACAAAGCAGGGUUUGACACCGACAGUGAGAGUAGUGACUGUUUAGGGAAAGAAGAAAGGGUGAAGAAAGGGGUUGAAGAACAAGCUCAGAGAAAAGGGGGAGGAAAACUGUAAUUAGAGAGAGAAAAUGGGAAGGUGAAGUGAACAGAGAAGAAAGAAAAAUAGUUUUUAUACUUAAGGUUAACACCUGAAAACGACACCAUUUUAAGAAGUAAAAAGGGAAGGAACAUCAGUCAAAUGACGUCGUUGAGGACAUUUGGGAAGUUAUAGCAUAAGCACUAAAAUGGUGCAAUUUGAGUAAAGCUCUGUGAGCCUUGGGAAGCAGAUCUGUUGAAGUGGGGUUGUGUCAUGACCCGAAACUCCCAUCGGCCCCGUGACAACCGUCGCGACGUCUCGAUAGGCACUCAUUACCCCGAAUACCGAUCGAAACCCCGCAAGGCUUAGCAUCAGCUUCCGCAUCUCCCCGGUGAGCGACAGUGAGCGACAGUUAUUAAAUCUCACAUUGCAAGAAAUCAUAAGUCGUUUCCAACUCAAAACAAUAAAAUAUUAUUUUUUAGCUCACAGGGGCAUUUUCAUCAUUUUUUUUUAAAAUUUCGAAAUCCGUAAAAAUGUAAUAUGUAAGUGGAAACGCAUAUUUCAUGAUUUAAAUUAAAUUUUGAAGUCUAAAACAUUCGUUUAAAGUAAAAUUAUAACUAUUUGAAUAUAAUAAAAAUAUUAAAUAAAAUAUUCUAUUUUCUUAAAACACAAUAUUUUCAAAGUCUUCCUAAAAUAACUUUUGUAGCGUAAGAGUAAAAUAAAUUUAUUCAUAUAGUAAUAAAGAUAAUUAAAGUAUGAAAUUUCGUUUACAGUGACACGUGGGCCCCCAAUUGAGCAAGAAGGUGUAGGGCUAUGAAUCCUUACUUUCUAGGAUGCACUCCGAGAUUAAUUCCCGUCUUAAUCAACUAUCAACAAACUGUCUUGAGCCUGAAAAAUGGAUAGGGAGAGGGGUGAGAUUAAAUAAUCCCAGUGAGUAAACAAUUACCAUCAAAAGCAUCUAAAGUCGAGUAAAUGGAGACAAUAUAAAAACGUUAUAUCUCAAUAAUGUUCAUAACACAAAAUUCGUUUCAAUCUAUACCAAACAAUUUCUUUUUAUCAAAAUUUUUCGGCUUAUGAAUUUCUUAAACUUGGCCCCUGCCAGAAUCAUUCUCGCGGGUACCUUUGUCAAGGUAUCCCACUGAGACUGUCAAGGCUGUUCAAUGACCCAUACCCAUAAACAUGUUUUCACAUUUGACACACAGCUGUUCCUUGGCGUUGGCUGAGUCUCACUCUCAUGUGAUGGCUCGAACGUGAGGUGCACUCAAAUCUUACCUCAGGAGAUACUUCAUCCAACAUCUCCCCUCGGAGGUAAUUAUAUAAUUGGGUUACCGUACCCCUCUCAUAGGCAGUCCACGAAAACCCCAACCACUGCAGUGACUGUUUAAUAUACCACCAGACCCAUAAAAAUUUCAGCAGCAUAAUAUGGCGAAUAAAAUGUAAUCCAGUCUACCGAGACCAAUCCAAAACUGUUCAUAUAUUUCAUGCCAACCCAAAAAAAUUUAGCCAUCAUGCUACCAUAGUGUCAUAAGCCACAAUUUCAAUAACAUAUAAAAUCAUAAAUUUCAACACAGUCUCCAUAUACUCAAAUUUCUCAAAACAAUAUUUGAUUUCAAAACCAGAAUAAAUCUCAUUUUUAUUAAAAAAUAUUUUAAUUAGAAAACAUAAUAUUUUAUAAUUUAAACUCACCAUUCAAUAAGAGCAUCAAACAAGUAUAAUUACUCUGGAUAUUUAAGAAGAUAAUUUGUCCACUCACAGUUCUAGGAGUCGAUGUACUCCUAAUCCCAGUCUUCAAGUACAAUCUCUGUACUUUUAUCAGUGUAAUUUGCUCACCACCUAUCCACAAUGUACAAUACAUAAUUCACCACAUCAAUGCUUGACCAUUAUAAAAUCAAUUCAGGCUCAGUCUAUAUGCAUGAUAUGAUAUACAACUUAUCCGACCAUCACUUAAAUGUGGUGCUGACCUAAUUCGGUCUAUUACCCGAUUAAAUCGAUAUACGUGCCUGUUUAAACUCCAAAUUAAUUUUUUUCAAUUUCUAUACCUCAAUUGCACCCAAAUUGACUUAAUGUCCCUCAGUGUGGUGCAAAUUAUCAGUUUCGAUAGCAAAUUACGAAAAUACCCCUAAUGGGUAAAAAUUCGUAUUUUUGCUCCGAAAAUUCCCAUUAUUUUUCUAGACUCAUAAUUCAUCAUUAAUCAUCAUAAUUCCUCAAAUAAACAUCAAGAUCAUCAGCCAAUAUUCCCCUAGAAAAUUUGGCCAAUAAUGGUAAUGAAGGAAAAUAAAUUCUUUUCUUGUUAUUUUGUUCCUAAAUAUGCUAAACUAACUAAAAACACUAACAUAACUUAAAAUCAAAUUAAUCUAACAACUUUCUCUCUCCUAACCCCUUUUGAUCAGCCAUCAAUUCAUCAUGAAAACAUGUAAUUUAGGCAUGAAAAAUUAGGAGAAAUGCUUAAGGAAGAUAGAUUUCAAGCUUAAGUUGAAAAAUCCUACCUUUUUCACUUGUUUUUCUUGAUUUUCCAUACUUUUUCUCUUGAAAUUCCUCACCUAGGGUUUGUUCUUCCUCUCUUUCUCUCUCUUCCUUGCUUGGCUGAAUAUUUGGAGAGUAAUGGGCUGAUUUAUGCUAUUUUUUUAGUUAAAUAAUAAAAUAUCCUAAGCUUGACACAUGGCAUUUUCUUAUUGGUUAAUUUUUAAAACUUUUAAAAUUUUAAACCUUUUAUCUCCACCACAUGAUUAGUCAAAGGUCAAAAAUGAGGAUAAAGGAAGACCUUGUGCUGGACAAAUGUCUUGGUGGUGGAAAAUUACAAUUUUACCCCUAGAGUGACAAAAUUAUCAUUUUACCCAUAUACUCCAAAUCAUAUCGAAAUUAAAAUUUUUCACUUCUAAACCUCAAAUCAUACUCCAAUAAGUCAAAUGGGACCUAAAAAAUCUUUUUUAAAAUUUUUCAUUUUGGCCCCAAGUGGCAAAUGACCAUUUUGCCUUUGGAUAGUGAAAAUUUCGGUUUGACUCCAAAUUGAUCAUCGAACUCCAAAUCACUAUUUUAAGUCAUCUCUGGACCAUGAAAUUCUUAAUUUCACCUUAAAAUUUCUAUAUGAACUAGUUCAAGGCUUAAUCGACUUAAUGAUACCAUUAGAGGCAGUAUCGUCUUUCAACGAUUUUCUCAAACUUCCUAAAUAUGUAACCAUUCUAUUGAGUAUAUAAAUGACGUCGUAAUUAUUUUAUAAAACAGGGUUUGACAGGUUGGUUGUCUUGGGCUGUCUCUUGCCCAAGGAAGGUAAACCUUUUUCUUUUUGUGGGUUUGGUAUGAUUUUGUUGUAUUGUGCUUGGCCCAAAUAUUUGGUUGGAAAAUAAAUUAGUUUUAGUAUGUGAUUAAUUAAAAUAAAAAAUAAAAAAUAUGCAGUAAAAUUAUCAAAUGUUAAGGUAAAAAUAUAAAGAGAAAAAAGUAAAAAAUUAUAAAUAGAGAGAUAGAUAAAUAUUUAAUAAUAAAGUGAUAGAUUUAGUUAUAUAGAAUAUAAGUGUAUAUAUAUAUAGGAAAAGAUGAAUGCCUAACCAAAAAAUAGUAAUAAAUAAUAGUAGAUCUAGGUUNUAUAUAUAUAUAUAUAUAUAUAUAUAUAUAUAUAUAUAUAUAUUUGAAAAGAUGAAUGCCUAAUGAAAAAAAUAGUAAUAAAUAAUAGUAGAUCUAGGUAAAAAAUACAAAUAUAUGUGAUAGAUAAAUAAAUAUUUAGCAGUAAAAAUAUAAAACUAAGUAAAUAAAAUAAUAUUUAGUUAUAAAAAAUUAAUCUAGCUGAAGGAAAGAAAAUAUAUGAAAAUGUAAAAGUAUAUGUAUAUUUUGUCAUAAGCAAAAUAGACUAAAUAAUGAGUGAAAAUAAUAUUAAUAUAGAUAAUUAUAUGAAAGUGACUUAAAUAAAAAAGGUAGAUAAAAUGUAAAAAGAUAAGUUAGGCAUGUAAAUAGAAAUGAGAUAUUUAACUAUAUAAAUUUAUAUUCAUAUAGGUAUAUAUAAAAAAAAUAAAAGAAUGGGACCUAGUAUGAAAUUAUUAAAUAUAAAAAUAUAACGAUUGUUUUAGGAUCAAUACCAAUGAUAGGAUGUCCAUUCAGAACGUGAGAAGUCAUAAUUCCCAAUGAAUUAUUAGGGACUUUGAUUAAGAUCCCACUAGUACCAUGUGAAGGUUUUAAUUUUGAGUCAUGAUGUUUCCAAUUCUAAAUAAAUAAAAAUUGUAUUAACCUAAUUACUAACCAAACAAAACAUAAAAACAAAGGAAACAAAAUAAUAAUAAUAAUAAUAAUAUACAAGAGGGAAUAGAUAAAAUAUGUAAUUUUAAAAUAUAAGAUUAUAUAAAAUAAGGAUUUUCAAGAUAAUAAAUAAAUAAAUAAUGAUAAUAAAAUUUUUAAAGAGAGUAAGAUGAUAACAAUAAUGAAUAUAGAGAAUAAUCAAUAGCGGACAUAAGAGUUGGUAUAGUACGUCUUGCAUUAUAAUCGCAUUUAAAUGUCAUGGCUUGUAGACAUUACGUGUGCGAGUCCAAAUCUCGAUGAUGGGACUUUUCAAGGGAGCUUGCAAAGGCGAGUUCUUUCAAAAAAUUUCCUAGGUGAAAGGAUACUUUCGAGUCUCACCAGUACGAUAGGAAGGCUCGGAGAAUAUCCUUAAUAAAAAGCUUCUGCUCGUAUUAAGGUCUGCAUUCAUAAAAAUAUUAUUUUUUACUUGCAAACGACUACCCCGAUGAUGGGAUUUACUCGAUAAACUUGCGAAAGUGAGUUUCUCGAGUAUUUUCUAGGUGAGAAAUUACUCUCGGAUCUUACCAGUAUGAUGGGUGAAUUCGAAUUCGCUUAGGACAUCAAUCGAGGACAAUUUUUAACGUCAAAAGAUCAGAUUGUUUACUCUAAAUGGUCUAAGUGUUCAUUACUUGAAAGAUCUAAGGAUUGCUUUGUAAAUUCUUGUAACACCCGACCCUAAAUUAUCUAUGACAUAUCAUUCACAUGCUUUGGAUAGCAUGUUUGUAUAUUGAAUUGCCCGGAAAACAAGUUAAAUGACUGUAUUGCCCCUAAUGGUACGGUUCAGUCAAAUAAGUCUUGAACUAGUUUAAACAGAGAAUCGAGGAUGAAUUUGAAAAAACUAAAACCUAUGGGUUGAUUUAAAAUGAGGAUUCAGAGUUUGAGGUCCGAUAUGGAGUUAAUCCGGACUUUAAGUAUUUUAAGGGUAAAAUGGUAAAUUACCACCUGAGGACGAAUAUGGAAAAUUUUAAUCCCGUUUGAUUAAGAUUGAUUAUAUUAAACAUAUUGGAGUUUAAUUUGAGGGUUUGACAGUGAAAAAAUUUAAUUUCGGUGAUUUCUAGAGUAUAGGGGCAAAAUCAUAAAUUUUUCACCCGCGGACAAAAUUUGAGAUUUUGAGAGAAUUUAGAUCAAAAUUGACAAAUUGGAGAGUGGUACGAGUAUAAGGGAUGAAAAAUAUGUCUAUGGGCAAUUUUUCAGUUUUUGGGGUAAAAAUGUAAUUUUGACUUUUACAGGGGCAAAAGUGUAAAUUUCAAAAAUUACUCCACCAAGACUUUGGAUAAGUCUUAGAAUUUUAUCUAAGCUAUGGAUAUGUUAGACAAGUGUAUGGUGAAAAUUUGGAAAUAAAUGGAUGGCUAGAAUUUAAGGAAUUAAUAAAAAAAAUGAAUAGAAUAAUAUUAUAUUAUUUUAGCCUUUAAAAAUGUCAAAAUUCCAGAAUUCUCAUCUUCUUCAGCCGUCCAAACCAGGAGAGAAAAAGGGGGAAAAGAAAUAAGAACCCUAGCUGAAAAAUUUGGGAAAAAUAAAGAGAAAUCAAGAAAUCAAGCAUUAAAAAGGUAAAUUUCAUUGAUUUUCCUUGUGAUUUUCACUACCCAUGCAUUUGUUUCUCAUUUUCAUGCAAAAUUAGAAAGUGGGUAUAGACACCCAUGCUGGCCAAACCUCCACGGAUGAGUUUUGAACUUGAAUUUUGGUUGAUUUUAAUUAAAUUAAGUGAUUUUAGUUAGGUUAUAUUGAACUAUAGCAAAAAUAAGCUAGAAAAAUAAUUUUCUCCCAUUGAAACCCAUUAUACCGAAUUUUCUAGGGGAAUAUUCGCUGCUGAUCUUGAUGUUUAUUUGAGGAAUUAUGAUGAAUAAUGAUGAAUUAUGAGCCUAGAAAAAUAAUGGGAAUUUUCGGAGCAAAAAAAUGAAUUUUUACCCACUAGGGUUAUUUUCGUUAUUUGCUAUCGAGACUGAUAAUUUGCACCACACUGAGGAACAUUAAGUCAAUUUGGGUGCAAUUGAGGUAUAGAAACUGAAAAAAAAUUAAUUUGGAGUUUAAACGGAUGUGUAUAUCGAUUUAUCCCGAAAUAGGCUAACAUCUCGUUUAGGCAAAAUUUAGACAUUUUGCACUUCAUAUCAUGCAUUAGUAGUAUAAAUUAGCUUAUUUUGGUUUAGUACCAAAGCAGUAAACCUCUUAAUUGUGCAAUUUGUCAAGGUGGCGAAUCCUUUGGUAAGGGUAAAGAAAUUGCACCCGAGGAAUAAUAGUUGGAGUACUCAAAUUUAGUUUUCAGAAACUGUGAGUAAACUUAUUAUCGUCUUAAUUAUCUAGAGUAGUUUUAUACAAUUGUGUGAUUUUAUGAAAAAUGGGUUUAUAUGGUAAAUUGCUAUGUUUUAAGAGAAAUUGUGAUUUUAUAAAAUGAUUUUAUAAAUUUUCUAGAAAAUCGAAUACUGGUUUUGACAAUAGAGUAAUUUGAGACUGCCUGCUUGUGUUGUAAAUUUAUGGUUUUAAAUUGAAUGGCUUAUGACAAUAAAUGAGCAUGAAUGGCUAAACUGAUUUUAGUGUUAGAAUUAUUUGUACUGUGUAUUUAGCCUUGAGAGGCUAGGUUGCGAUAAAUUGCCAUGUCAUGCAGAAAAAGAUUUUAUAAAUCAAGUGGUAGAUAAAAGAUUAGCUACUGCAGUGGUGGGGGGUUCCGUGGGCCAGCCUAUUAGAGGGACACGAUCAACUCCUUUAUAUUCUCACCUCGGUCGUAAAGGCGCGUAGGGUAUCUCCUGAGGUGAGCUUUUUGAGUGCACUUCACGUGGACCACCGCGUGAGAGUGAGACUUAGCCAGCGCUAAGGAACGGCUAUGUUUCAAAAUAAAAAUAUGAUUUAUGCGAAAUAUAAAUUUUUAACAACCUUGGCGGACUUCGUUGGAUACCCCUGGUCCAAGUGUCCCCGAGUACAAGAUUUGGCAUGAGCCAAGUUUUGAGUAAUUCACGAGCCAUAUUGAUUAUUUGGUUGAAAUGAAUAUUCGUUAUGUGAAAAAUUUAUUGAAGUUAAUUAUUUUUAAUUGUCUCCAUUUACUCGCCUUUAGAUAGUUUAGAUGGUGUCUGUUUACUCAUUGGGAUUUUAUAAUCUCACUACCCUCAAUUCCCCACAUUUUAGGUUCGGGAUAGCCAGUAGAUAGCUGAUUGCAUCAAGGACUUCAGUUAGCCUUGCAUUGUCAAAAUUAUAGAUUCACAGACUCGCAUCUUAUUGGUUAGUUGGGGGCCCACGUGUCAUUGUAAAAGUAAUUUUAUACUUUAGUUAUCUGAUUUAAAAUAUGUAUGAACAUAUUUAGCUUUUACACCAUGUUUUUGGCGAGUUUCGGUAUUAUCGAAGAAAAAUGACGAAAAUGCCCUUAUGAGCCAGAAAAUAAUAUUUUAUUAUUUUGAUUUGGAAACGACUUAUGAUUUCUUGAAAUGCAAGAUUUAAUAACUGUCGCUCACCGGGGAGAUGCAGAAACUGAUGCUAAGCCUUGCGGGGUUCCGAUCGGCAUUCGAGGUAAUGAGUGCUUAUCGGGAUGUCGCUGCGGUUGUCACGGCCCGAUGGGAGUUUCGGGUCGUGACAAUUCUCCUUCUUUUCUUUAUUUCAACCCCUACUUUUCACCAUUAUAUAAUUCCACAUGAUGAUUGUCAUAGAAAUGAAUGAUGAUUGGUAAAGAGAUGAACUAAUUAAGUAAGAAACUAUAUUUGUUGUUCAAUAAAAGACUUAAUGAUGAGGAAAAAAGAAAAAAGAGCCUCAACAUGAAAAAGGUCCAAUGUCAAAAGAAAUGAUGCCUAAGGAAAAUUAGGAAUUUCAGCCAAUGGGAAAGGCGUAGACAAAGAUGAGUGAAAGUUGUAGUGAAAAGGUUGGAUGAAGUAAGAAAAGGGUCAAGAAACCUUAAUGAAUCAUAAACAUGAAAACAUUCCAUCAAUUCAAUCGUGUACACAUGCCUAACCAUGCAUAUGAUCAUUUUCAAACAAGAAUCAAAAUUAAUACAUGUUCCAAGGUUCAAAAGUGGAAAUUUAUCGAACCUAAAGUGUUCAGGUUGUAAAACUUUGAUUAAGAUGGAAGUAUUUGAGUAUUUCAUUUUCAUAAAACAACUAAUGCAGAAAGGAUUUAAGCCUAAUUAAGUUGGCACGAGAGAUUCCAAGCCAAAUUUAGUUGACACUAGUAUGAGUUUAAAAAUGAUGUCAAUCCAAUUAAGUUGACAUUAGAUAAUUUAAAAUCGAACUUGUUUUGAAAUAGGUCGAGCCUAGGUCAAGUCUAAGAAUUUUAAUUUUUAAAUCGAAUCUGUUUUGACAUAGGUCGAGCCUAGGUCAAGUCUAGGAAUUUCAAUUUUUUAAUCAAACUUGUUUUGCUAUAGGUCGAGCCUAGAUUGAGUGUAGAAAUUUCAAUUUUUUAAAUCAAACCUAUUUUGAUAUAGGUCCAGCCUAGGUCAAGUUUAGAAAUUCAGUUUUUAAAAUCAAACCUAUUUUGAUAUAGGUUGAGCCUAAGUCGAGUUUAGGAAUUUCAAUUUUUAAAUCGAACCUAUUUUGAUAUAAGUUGAGCUUAAGUCAAAUCUAGGAAUUUUGAUUUUCAAUUUGAACUUAUUUUGAUAUAGGUCGAGCCUAAGUCAAGUCUAGGAAUUUGAAUUUUUAAAUCGAACCUAUUUCGAUAUAGGGCGAACCUAGAUCAAAUCCCAAAAUUUCAAUUUUUAAGUCAAACAUAUUUUAAGAUAGGUCAACCCUAGAUUAAGUUUAAGAACUUCAAUUGUUUAAAUCGAACUUGCUUUAAGAUAGGUCAAAUAUGGUGCUUACGUCUUUGCACUAUUCUUGAUUCUCAAGAAUGUGUAAAGAGAGGCAACUGUAGCACCUAUACCCAUAGAUCUCAAAUAAAAAAAAUAAUAAAUAAUAAAUAAAUUGCUCUUAAAAAAAUUGAAAUUGAUGGUUUUAGUAUUCUUAGCCUCUUUCUCCCAUAGUCAACUGAUCAGAUGUUCAAGCCGAUGGCUACCCUAUUGCUUUUCUAAGCACCGUCACUUUGAUACUUAGGAAACAGCUUGCACAAGGCAUUUAAUGCCCUUUGGGUAGCUAGAUUUGGGUCACCUCUAGCUGCCAUCCCUAGGUUUUCUUUUACAUGGAGCCCUUCAUUUGUAAAAUCAUGCUAAAAAAAGCAUGAUUUCAUUUCUAGAUUGUCCAAAAACUUGGAAAAUCGAGUUCUAUAAGAACCCUUGAAAUUCAUAAGGAAGAGGGGGCAAUUUCACAAAACUUAGCAGCCAAUUUCAUCACAGAAGCCUUAGGCAACCAAUUUCAAAAAAAGAGAGAAAACCCUAGAGCAAAAGAAAAACUCAAAAAAAUCCUAACUUUCUAUCCUAUCAAACAACCAAAUACCAUAAUCAAAAGAUUUAAGAAAAGCUGAAAUAAAAAUAACAAAUAGCAAUAAAAAAAAAGGCCUUGAAAAUUCGAAAACUAGAAAAGACUAAGGGGGUUUGUUUUUCUUUCUUUUCUUUUGGGAUCUUCACGAGAUUUGGGGAAUUUAGGGUUGGUGGUUUUUGAUCGGCUUGGUUGGGGAGUGAUUGUGAAGGGAAAAUAGAGAAAGUUGAUGAAAUCGAGAGAGAAAAAGGGCAAUUGACGAGGUAGGCCGGCAGUGAGAGUAGUGAUAAUAUAGGGAAAUAAGAAAGGGUGAAGAAAGGGGUUGAAAAACCAGCUUCAGAGAAGGGGAAGGAAUACUGUCAUUAGAGAGAGAAAAUGGGAAGGUGAAGUGAAGAGAGAAGAAAGAAAAAUAGUUUUUAUACUUAAGGUUAGCACUUAAAAACGACAUUAUUUUGGGAAGUAAAAAGGGAAGGAGCAUCAGUCAAAUGAUGUCGUUUCGAGCGUUUGGGAAGUUGUAGCAUAAGCACUAAAACGGUGCGAUUUGAGUAAGGCUUUGUGAGCCUUUGGAAACAGAUUUGUUGAAGUGGGUUUGGUUGUCUUGGGCCGCCGUUUGCCCAAGGAAGGUAAACCCUUUUCCUUUGUGGGUUUGGUAUGAUUUUGUUGUAUUGUGCUAGGCCCAAAUAUUUGGUUAGAAAAUAAAUUAGUUUUAGUAUGUGAUUAAUUAAAAUAAAAAAUAAAAAAUAUAUAGAAAAAUUAUCAAUUGCUAAGGUAAAAAUAUAAAGUGGAAAAAGCAAUAAAUUAUAAAUAGAGAGAUAGAUAAAUAUUUAAUAAUAAAGUGAUAGAUUUAGUUAUAUAGAAUAUAAGUGUGUGUGUGUGUGUGUGUUAUACCUAUCAAAAUGGGCUUGGCCCAUUGGGCCAACCCAUUUUUCAUUUAAUAUGGGGUGGGCUGGGCCAUGAAAAUUUAGGCCCAUAUUUAAACCGGGCCUAGAUGGGCCAGCCCACCAAAUCAAUAGGCUAGGGUGGGUUGGGGCGGCCAGCCCUAUGGGCCAAAAAAAUUAAUAAUUUUAAUUAAUUUAAUAACUUUAUAUAUUUAAUUAUAUAAAAGUAAUAAUUUAAUUGCCAAUAAUAUUACUUAUUUUAUAUAUUUUAAUGUGUUUUGUCACGACCCGAAACUCCCAUCGAGCCCGUGACAACCACCGCGACGUCUCGAUAGGCACUCAUUACCCCGAAUGCCGAUCGAAACCCUGU
rnacentral:lncRNA from 1 species